CCUACGGGUGGCAGCAGUGAGGAAUAUUGGUCAAUGGGCGCGAGCCUGAACCAGCCAAGUAGCGUGAAGGAUGACUGCCCUACGGGUUGUAAACUUCUUUUAUAAAGGAAUAAAGUGAGGCACGAGUGCCUUUUUGUAUGUACUUUAUGAAUAAGGAUCGGCUAACUCCGUGCCAGCAGCCCCGGUACUACGGAGGAUCCGAGCGUUAUCCGGAUUGAUUGGGUUUAAAGGGAGCGUAGAUGGGUUGUUAAGUCAGUUGUGAAAGUUUGCGGCUCAACCGUAAAAUUGCAAUUGAUACUGGCAGCCUAGAGUACAGUUGAGGUAGGCGGAAUUCGUGGUGUAGCGGUGAAAUGCUUAGAUAUCACGAAGAACCCCGAUGGCGAAGGCAGCCUACUGAAC
rnacentral:rRNA from 1 species